rnacentral:ncRNA from 1 species
AUUUGCGACUGAAAAAUCGCGUUUAUGUCGUCAUUACGAAAUCAUUGAUUUCCGGCAUAAUCUUAAACAGCGAGACUUGUUUUUUAAAAAACAGGUCUUUUUUC